CAUCUCUUCAUCAUUCAUAUUCUGCGUGCUUAUUAUUUCCCAAGUACUAGGUUAGGUACAGGAUAAAUGGAAAUCGAUAAUGUCGUCCUUAAGAAGUGUUGUGCAAAAAAAAAAAAAUAAUAAUUGUGGAAGAAACCUGUAAUUUGUCAGGUUAAGGAAUUAAAAAGGAGUUAUGCAAUAGAUAGGGUGAGGUUGAGGGUUGGAUUACAAAUGGAAUAAAGGUUGCCCACAUCUGAGUGUUGCCUGGAAGAUUAAAUGAGAAAUAUGCAAGACGAAGUGCACACGGCAUCUCUUCCUUCAUCCAGGCCCCGAGUGAGGUCCAGGGAUGCAAUGUCACGGCAUAGCCCCUGCCUCAGGAGACUUUAUACCAAUGUGGAUUGUUUCUGCAUUCUCCUUUACACGUGUGUCUAAAUCAUUCUGAGGAUAAUUUUGUGGUCAACUUCAUUUCUACCUGAAUGACAAAUUCCCUAUAUUCAAUUCCCAUGAUGCAAAAAUAGCAUUUAGUUUUAUUGGGCCUAAGAUGAUCUCUCUGCAAUAUUAAAAGGUGUCCCCUAGAGUAAUUUUUAAGUAUCUGAGGUUUUGUUAAGAUCAUUCUUUUCAUAAUUCAUAUCUUCUUUAACCUUUGUUAUUCCAGAUUUAAGAGAUGUUUUCAAGUCGUGUUCUCAGAAGCUUCUGAUCCUUAUCCUUCUGAUCAUUUGAGUUAUACCUGUCUGACUCUACUAUGUCUCCCUGCUGCUUUGAUAAAAGACAAUUUCACAUACUGUGGAGGUCAUCAGUCAAUCUAAUGUUUAUUAAUCAUCCCCUCAUUUCACAUGGCUUUCUCUGGACCCCUUGGGAGGAGACAAGGUAAUAAAUCCUAUCCUCCAUCCCAGGUUCAUGAUCAUUUGGAUAGACAAGGUAUAUAUAGAGAAAAUAUUUAAUAAUUAGAGUCCUGAAGGAGGGACUUUGCAGUGAACUUCAACAUCUCAAGCCUCCUUCUUCUCCCACUUCCAAACCACCCUGAAUCACGCGGGAGAAGUGAAAAUAUCUUUUAAAGACAUCAAGAGAAAAAUAUUUCACAAGCCUGUUCGAUAACUUUCUGAAAACACUCAUUGUUCAGGGUGCUGCUUAAAUGAUCUUUCUGCUUCUGCCGGUGGCAAGGCCCCUCCAGCUCUGAAAGCAUGCAGAGGACAGCCCAUUGUUCCCUUAACGCCUGAGCAUCAAUCACCUGGUCACCCAACACUCAGCCAGCUCUGCGCAGAAUGUUUCUAAGUGAUUUUGACUGCAAGACUUUUCGCCAUUGGGUCCACGUGGGAACCUCUCCCUCUGGCUCUCCUUACACCUCCACAUGGGUGGACACAUGGCCCCGGCCUCUGGAGGGAUGGAGAGGGAGGGUGCUUCUGGAGAGAGGAGAUCUGAUGGGGCUGGGGUCUCUCCAACCCUGCACGUGGCACCCUGUGAACUCACAGCCUUUCAUACCAGCUCCUUCCCUGGUCCUUAGCCCUUUCGUCAGUGCGGUUUAGGGCAAUGGUCACCUGAACGUUUGUUUUGACAGUCACAAAUUCCCAGAAACAGGGAAACGGAACUCGCUAGCGACGUUGUGUGGAUGAGUUUGCUUUAGGCUGGAACAAGCCUUGCCUUUGGGUAACGGGCUUCCGGGUGCGCCCUGGCCGGCUGUGUGCGCGCGGAAGGCGGUCACCUGGGCCCCCUGGGCGCGCGCGCCGCCCGCCCGCCCGCCUGCCCCGCGCGCACCUGCAGGAGGCUCUGGCGCGCUCCCUCCCUCCCUGGCUGCGCUGCGAAGGGCGCGGGAGAGGGGGAUUCUAGCAGCGCUGAAUCACUUUCCCACAGCCUCUGCGUGGGGAGCGCUUCCUCUGAUGCACGCCCUAUUUGUACUUCCUGAGUGCGCGUGGACUGCGGGCCCUGCUCGCCGCAGACUUGCCCGAAAUAGCAGCGCGCGGGCUCGGCUCCCCGCGCCGCCCGCAGCAUCUGCCUCCCCCUCCCGCCUCGUGGGCAACCGGGCGCGGCUGAGUCACGGUGACACUGAGUCACUCGCCAGCGUCAGGAAAUGCCUUUUUUAGACUUCCAGUUUGAAAUGGAGCAGCAGGAAGAAGAAACAGAGCGCUCCCGGGAAAUGUUGAAAAAGCAGAGCCCCAUUCAUCACAGCACAGGUUGAAGAGACCAGCUCUCCCCGAUAUUGGCAGAAUUUCCAUCACAGGAAUAAGCUUUUGAAAAGCAAACUGACAGAUGAGAGCAGUGAAAUCCACUGAGUGGGCCGUGGAGAACAGCUGUGUUUGAGAGGCAUCUCAGCGAUGUGAAUGAGGCCAGGAGGAGCCAUGAAGACGGCACUGCCUGUGGGGCCCCCGAUAAAUGAUGGCACUGAGCAAUUGGCAGGACUGUGGGCAUGGGAGGGGUCCCUAGGCCCCACCCCCCUCUGCUCCUGUUUGUGUAAUUAACAGCCCGCUUCCUAUCAGGUGCUCUGCCUUCAGUGCUCUCUGCUGCGGCUCUUACCAGCGAGGACUGGAGGGGCGGCUCCUUUACCUGCCCUGUCCUGGUUUUUGCUCCCGCCUGCCCCGUGAGCCAGGGGAUGCACUCACAGCUGCUCUUUUUGAUGUAUAAAGUGUGUUUGAACAUUAUGCCAAAUAUCAAAAUGUGAAGGACUAAUCCAGGAUGCAAAAACGUUAUGGGGGGUUGUAAAUACGAACUAUACAACAGUUUAGGAUGCAAUUAUGAGUGUAAACUGUGUGCCUUAUUUAUACUUCAUUGUCUCCAGCUUCUCAGAUAAAGUUUUGAUGUGUUGUACAGUGGAAUAUCUUAGAUACUUUUUGGAAAGUUUUUACAUAAGUUAUAUCACAAUUAAAAUGUUGAAUUUCAAAAAAAAAAAGAGGCAUUCGUUUGAGAUUGCCUGGGGUCCUGUGGUUUGCUGAAUAAGACUCAGUGUGGGGAACUGUAGACUCUUCCUGAGAAGCUCAAUUCCAAAAGGAAAAGGAAAAUGCCGACUGGGAUUCCCUGACAGGCAUUGGUUAGCUGCUGUCUCUGUCCACUGAUAACUGGAGCUUUCAGAAAGGCAUCCUCUGCAGCCCAGCAUCAGCUUCUCCGCCUGCUGUUCCCUCCGGGAGGCGGCCCGCACCUCAGAAGCAGACACCGUUGUGCCUGGGUCCGGUGGCGUCUGGCCAACAGGGGCUGGAUGGGGGGCAACAGCAGCAGGAGGAGGACAGAGGAGGUGUUUACUCAGGGUCUCCUGUUAGGGUGCUGUGGGGUGUUGGGUUUCUCUGCUGGAAGCUGCAGCUCUGGUCACCACC
rnacentral:lncRNA from 1 species